rnacentral:misc_RNA from 1 species
AUACCUCAACCUCUACAUUUUCUUGUAAAGUGUAGCAGCGUUGGAUGCUGAGCGCUGCUGUAGCCUUUGAGCACAGCUCGCUUCAAAUGCAUAAGCAAUCUUUGUACUCCUCGGAUUGACUCGACGUGAUAAGAUCUUCGUUGAGGAUGCUUUCAAUAGCAGCCGGAUUGUACAUUAGUCGCUUCUAAACCGAGUCGCCUUGUGCGAUGCUCCUUUAAA